GAUGAACGCUGGCGGCGUGCCUAAUACAUGCAAGUCGAGCGAACAGACGAGGAGCUUGCUCCUCUGACAUUAGCGGCGGACGGGUGAGUAACACGUGGAUAACCUACCUAUAAGACUGGGAUAACUUCGGGAAACCGGAGCUAAUACCGGAUAACAUGUUGAACCGCAUGGUUCAACAGUGAAAGACGGUCUUGCUGUCACUUAUAGAUGGAUCCGCGCCGCAUUAGCUAGUUGGUAAGGUAACGGCUUACCAAGGCAACGAUGCGUAGCCGACCUGAGAGGGUGAUCGGCCACACUGGAACUGAGACACGGUCCAGACUCCACGGGAGGCAGCAGUAGGGAAUCUUCCGCAAUGGGCGAAAGCCUGACGGAGCAACGCCGCGUGAGUGAAGAAGGUCUUCGGAUCGUAAAACUCUGUUAUUAGGGAAGAACAAAUGUGUAAGUAACUAUGCACGUCUUGACGGUACCUAAUCAGAAAGCCACGGCUAACUACGU
rnacentral:rRNA from 1 species